ACUCAGAGCAGAGCCAACACUCAUCCUCAUCAGAUAUUCUGACCCGUCGUCAGCAAGUACUCAUAAGCAGUGAUAAUAAAAACGUGAGUAACGGUAAAGAUCAACUACUGCUACAAACAUGAAGAAUUGAACCGUUACAACAAAUACAUGUGUAUUUAAUUUUUAAUUUAUAAAUUUUGGGGGCAAUUUAGUGAGAUAAAUAAUGAGAGUGAAAUACUUUUUGCUGGUGUUAUGUUACUUUCUUGCCGAUAUCAACAGUGUGUCAAGUCGGUCGGCAGUGACUAUACCUCCCAUUCCUGAAGUUUACCAGCCACCUUUACCAGAAGAUGCCGAGCUUGAUGAGAAGAAGUUGCAAUGGCUUGAAGAUUCUGAGCAGGAUCCUGAAGUUACUCCCGGGCUAUUUCAAGGAGAUAUGGCAAUGGAUAAUGAGGUGUUCAGCUACUGGCGGGUUGGUUUGCGUUGGGAUGUCUUUCCUGACAGAUUGUGGAAGAAUAGGACUGUACCGUAUAUUAUCAGUCCAUUAUAUGAACCUGAUGAAUACAUUACCAUUUAUAAAGCGAUAACUACAAUAAACUAUAUGACCUGCGUGAAGUUCGUACCUUGGAACGGAAAAGCCAAAGAUUUUUUGAUAAUAUGGCCUAUAAAAUAUCCAAAAGGGUGUUGGUCGUUCGUGGGACGAUUUGGAGGCGCUCAAAUAGUGUCACUGCAGCCGCCUGACGCGAAGGGGCCCAACUGCCUGGGCAAUGAGGGCCGAGCAAUGCAUGAACUGCUGCAUGCAAUCGGCAUAUUCCAUGAGCAAUCAAGGGCCGAUAGAGACAAAUUUGUCAAAAUUAAUCUCAGCAAUGUUUUGCCAGGGCAGAAUGUUAAGAAUACUCGAGAGAUAAGAAGUACAGAAUUGUUCAUGCAGUUCCCCUUCCCCCGCUUCACCCACAUUGCUGUUGGAGAAGAAGGCUUCUCCCUCCACAACCUCAGUCUUCAGCACUCGGCUGACCCAUAAACAUCUCUUAGUUUCGAUCUAAUUUUGACAAACAGAGUUUGGACAAUACAUCAUACACAUUCGAGUAUGACUAUGACAGUAUCAUGCAUUAUGGUAAAUACUUUUUCAGUACAAACAAAAGUAAACCAGUGAUCACACCCAAGUUUCCCGCUACGAAGCUCGGACAGCGCAAGAUGUUGAGCAAAACCGACUGUCUCAAAGUCAAUCAACUGUACGGCUGCUUGGAAAAAUCGAAAUACUCACAAAAAAAAUAUUAUAAUCUGUGUAAUUUUCUGGGACUUUGACAGAAAACCAUUACUAGGCUAUUAUUGUGGCUCCUAUCGACCGUACUUUACACUCAAGACUCCCUCAUAUGUGCCAUAUGUGUAUCUCGUAAAUAGAAUUCUUAAUAAAUAUUACAUAGAGAAAUAUAGUAAGUAGAAACCA